GGGGUGUUAGUAAAACUAUUACAUAACCUUGUCAAGGUUAAAUCAUAGGUGAAGACCCUAUACACCCCC
rnacentral:tRNA from 1 species